rnacentral:rRNA from 1 species
UACGGAGGAUCCGAGCGUUAUCCGGAUUUAUUGGGUUUAAAGGGUGCGCAGGCGGGAGAUUAAGUCGGCGGUGAAAUUUUGCAGCUCAACUGUAAAAGUGCCUUCGAUACUGGUUUCCUUGAGUGUGGAUGAAGUAGGCGGAAUUUGUGGUGUAGCGGUGAAAUGCUUAGGUAUCACGAGGAACUCCGAUUGCGCAGGCAGCUUACUAAACCACUACUGACGCUCAGGCACGAAGGCGUGGGGAUCAAACAGGAUUAGAUACCUCCGUAGU